rnacentral:rRNA from 1 species
GAUGAACGCUGGCGGCGUGCCUAAUACAUGCAAGUCGAGCGAACGGACGAGAAGCUUGCUUCUCUGAUGUUAGCGGCGGACGGGUGAGUAACACGUGGAUAACCUACCUAUAAGACUGGGAUAACUUCGGGAAACCGGAGCUAAUGCCGGAUAAUAUUUUGAACAGCAUGGUUCAAAAGUGAAAGACGGUCUUGCUGUCACUUAUAGAUGGAUCCGCGCUGCAUUAGCUAGUUGGUAAGGUAACGGCUUACCAAGGCAACGAUGCAUAGCCGACCUGAGAGGGUGAUCGGCCACACUGGAACUGAGACACGGUCCAGACUCCUACGGGAGGCAGCAGUAGGGAAUCUUCCGCAAUGGGCGAAAGCCUGACGGAGCAACGCCGCGUGAGUGAUGAAGGUCUUCGGAUCGUAAAACUCUGUUAUUAGGGAAGAACAUAUGUGUAAGUAACUGUGCACAUCUUGACGGUACCUAAUCAGAAAGCCACGGCUAACUACGUG